AUUCUUUCGGAGAUUUCUAUGAAAUGAUACAGAGAAGAUUAGCAUGGCUCCUAUACAAUGAUGACACGAGAAAUGAUCCAAAAAAAAUUGCU